UUCAGGUUUACACACCAGCAUUACGAGGCCAUUCGGUUUAUGAGACCAAUUUUGAUGGUCUCGUAAUUCGGGGAAUUUAAAUUGUUAUAAUUAUUGAAUAAUAAUAAUUUAAAGCAUUAUUAAUAGAUGUAUGAUUACUACAUUACUAGUUUUAUUAAUUCACAUUGCUAUUUGAAUGUGAUAAACAUCCCCACGCUUUUUAUGACCUUUACAAAUAUGGACCUUUUAAACCAUGAUGUGUAUGUGUGAACUUUGAACAGUGCCCCUGUAGGUGGGAAUUGGUAUUGCAAGGUACACACAUUCGCGCCAAAUAACACACAUUUCCCCGCUAAAUCAUACACAUUUCCCCGCCAUAUCGUACAAUUGGCCGUAAACGUCGGCUGUUUCGAGAAGAUUCGCCGCGUUUGGAGAAGUGAUUAACAUCGGAGCUGCAACAGUUCUUCAGCAUCAUGGAAUUUACCGAAAACUGAAAAGGGACUAAAUCCUCUCAGAGAUACAGAACAGCACGUGAAGUUGGACAAAGAUUAAGACAUACAUGGAUAUAUAUAUAUAUCAAUCACACCAAAGGGCGAGGUGUAUUUGCAAAAGGCUUUAUGUUGAAAGGUUCAUUCAUUCUUGAAUCCAGAGGAAUCUUGUAUAAGCAUUGAUGCUUCAAGCGUUGACAGAUCACUUGGGAGACUAGUGAAUGAUGAGCAGAAACCCAAUGCAAAGAUGAAAAAGAAGUGGAUGGUAUGCCCCAUCUUUUGGCCAUUAUGGAUGGAAGGGAAUUUCGAGAG